GGGUGAAGAGAAACCAUAUAGUAGAGAAACAAAAUAGAAUUCUGACACAGUGAGGGUUCCAAAAUUGUGAAUGUGAAUGGGUGUAAUGUUUAAAUUGUAAAUUUCUACUGUUCUUCACUUAUACCUAGAGGUGAUGCUCAUGGAUAUAAUGUUCAAUUAUGGGGAUACAUUUCUAACACCGUGACGGUAACUGGUGUAAAAGUAUGAUCAUUCAAAGCGCGCUUGGGACUGCAGAUUCCACAGCACCAAUCCAAUACAGGUACAGAGAUAAGAUCAACAAAGCAGGAUGUCAUGUAGAUGCUGAUACAACUGAUAGGAAGAUUCAGAAGAAGCUAAUACAUGACAACUUAAAUGAUAAUGUUGUAGUAAUUUUAAGUCUUUGGUCAUGUGAAUAACUAUUGCCAAAUAGUGAUUAGUUUGUCAAACAGCAACUUAUAUAAAUUUAUUAG